GACGAACGCUGGCGGCGUGCUUAACAAAUGCAAGUCGAACGGAAAGGCCCUGCUUUUGUGGGGUGCUCGAGUGGCGAACGGGUGAGUAACACGUGAGUAACCUGCCCUUGACUUUGGGAUAACUUCAGGAAACUGGGGCUAAUACCGGAUAGGAGCUCCUGCUGCAUGGUGGGGGUUGGAAAGUUUCGGCGGUUGGGGAUGGACUCGCGGCUUAUCAGCUUGUUGGUGGGGUAGUGGCUUACCAAGGCGUUGACGGGUAGCCGGCCUGAGAGGGUGACCGGCCACAUUGGGACUGAGAUACGGCCCAGACUCGUACGGGAGGCAGCAGUGGGGAAUAUUGCACAAUGGGCGGAAGCCUGAUGCAGCAACGCCGCGUGCGGGAUGCCCGCCUUCGGGUUGUAAACCGCUUUCGCCUGUGACGAAGCGUGAGUGACGGUAAUGGGUAAAGAAGCACCGGCUAACUACGUG
rnacentral:rRNA from 1 species